rfam:Nomascus leucogenys chromosome 22a, whole genome shotgun sequence.
GGCAGUGUAGCCUAGAGGCCAGGAAGGUGCACCCUGGAGCCCCACUGCCUAGGUUCAAAUCCCAGCUCUGCCA